rnacentral:rRNA from 1 species
GACGAACGCUGGCGGCGUGCUUAACACAUGCAAGUCGAGCGGAGCGGCGAACGGGUGAGUAACGCGUGAGUAACUGCCCCCCUCUCUGGGAUAACCGUUGGAAACGGCUGCUAAUACCGGAUAGUGGGGGAUGACUCGGGGCCUAUCAGCUUGUUGGUGGGGUAGUGGCCUACCAAGGCGACGACGGGUAGCCGGCCUGAGGGGGCGACCGGCCACAUGGGGCUGAGAUAGGCCCCAAACUCCUACGGGAGGCAGCAGGGGGGAAUAUGGCACAAGGGGGGAGACUCUGAGGCAGCAACGUCGCGUGCGGGAUGACGGCCUUCGGGUUGUAAACCGCUUGCAGCAAUGACGCGGUAGUGGCAGAAGAAGCACCGGCUAACUACGUGCCAGCAGCCGCGGUAAUAC